rnacentral:lncRNA from 1 species
CCUGUCCAUAGGUUAUCAGUACCUGAUCCAUGGAAUCAUGGAAUGGUUUGGAUUGAAGGGACCUUAAAGCUCCUCCAGCCCCAACCCCUGCCACAGGCAGGGACCCCUUCCACUGGAGCAGCUGCUCCAAGCCCCUGUGUCCAACCUGGCCUUGAGCACUGCCAGGGAUGGGGAAUACAUGGAAUAUACAGCUCAGCUUUCCUCUGUUCUCCCAAUAUUCUUCCCAUUAUUUCCAUUGAUCUUUAAUAUUUAAGCUUAAUCAAUGUUUAAUACUGAAGCACUAAUGUCUUCAAGGCAGUAACUGCAGGUUUGGGCUGUGGGCUGCCCCUGGAGAGCUUGAUCUUAAACCUUGUCAUUAAAUGCCUGUAAAAGGGAAAUGUGGGAAGUGAAGGGAUGAAUCCCUGGUCACAUCCGCAGGGAUUCAAGGAUGUGAAUGGGCACAUGCACCGGUAUAAACCUAGAGGCAAAGGGUGAAGCAUCCACAUGCAUGGCUCUGCUCUAGUCCUGCAUCCAGCAUUCCCAUGUCUCCUAAUGAAGCUCAUUCUUCCAUAGGUGAUUCCCUGUCCCUUUGCUGAUCCACAAGAAACAGAGGAGCUUUUCCAAGCAGCAUGAAUGCAAACAGACCCAUUUCCCCCAGGAUCCAUGGAGCAGCAGCAGUGGCUGCAUCCCUGCGCCAGCAUCCAGGGUCUUGCUGCUGGUCCCAUCCUCAUCCCGCUGCUCCAGGCGGCCCUGUCCCGAAACACACAGAGGAUCCCAGGAAUAAUAUGGAUGUCCAGCGCCUUAAAACCCCUCCUGGGUCCAACAGCAAGGGACAAGCCAUGCCUUAAAGUGAUGUUAAAGAGCAGGAGCCGUUGUCUCCGGGUGCAAAGCUGCGGUGUGUUGGGAACUGUUUCUACCUGCCUCCAGUACAUCUUAUUGCUGACUGAGUCACCAAUGUUCUCUGUUAUAUCAUACAAUACAUGAGCAUUUGCACACAUCUGAUAGAAAGAACUUCUCAAUUAAAGGCAACCUGGUGGAUUGGGGUUUUGGUUGAUGGGACCCUGGGAAUCUGAGAGCUGAGUCCUGAAAUCAGAGUGAGAACUAAGACACAGCUAUAAAACAAAGGUCAGUCCAGCAGGAAAUAGGCUGUUUGCAUGAUGCAAUGAACGUGGAUCUGGGGAAGCAUUGGGUAUUUACAGGGGUAAGAAGUGCUGAUUGAAAGCCCUCUGCCCUUCUUCUCUCAUCGCCAUCCUUCUUCCAUGCCCAGGAGGCAAAGGGAGAGGGCUCCGUGAGUCUCUGCAAGGCAAACUAAGGCAGCUCUGCCCAUCAGCUGGCUCAGGUUUUCCUUUCCCCACUGCAGGGUUAUCCCGGGGAAGCCGAUGGGUUUCCAGGUUUCCAUUCCAAGGAAAUGCCAUUAUCCCACUGCUGGGGAGGGUUUCCUCUGAGACUCCUUUGGGACAAUAGAAAGGUAAUAAAACAGAGCGGAGAGAAGCAGUAAACAUCACUGCCGGACACAAUCCUGCUCUGGAGAGUCCCAGCUCCGUGUGGGAUGUCCACCCGCAAUCCGACAGCCCCACCAUGGGUCCUGGGGUGAGGCAGGGGUGGGAGCUGGUGGUGCAGGGAGCCCUGCAUCCAUCCCUCCAUCCAUCUGUCCAUCCAUCCAUCCGUCCUUCCUGGGCUUUCCCAAUGGGAACAGAGUCUGGGGAUGGCACCUGGUGCUCACUGCAUCCUCCAGAUGAGGCGGAUGAUGUAACGCAGGAGGCGCAGAAUGACGACCUGGGGGUUUCCUGCAUGGUUAUCCAAGAAUCCCUGGAACCAAAGAGGAGGAACAGCAAUGUAAGCACAUGGCAGUGAACACAGCCCCGUGCUGCAAAACACCUCGUGUGGUGCCAGAUAGAGAUGGUCCAGAGGUGGGAACCUGAUGGCUCCGUCCAAGUGCCUGCAGGAGGAUGGAGCCAGGAGGGGCUGGGCUCUGCUCCCAAGGAACAAGGGAUGGGACAAGAGGAACCGGCCUCAAGCUGCACCAGGGCAGGUUUAGAUGGAGCUGAGGAACAAUUCCUGCCCCACAGGGUGCUCAGGCAUUGGAACAGGCUGCCCAGGGCAGGGCUGCAGGCACCGGCCCUGCAAGGGUUCACAGCCCGUGGAGACGAGGCCUCAGUGCCAUGGCUAGGGGUGGCCUUGGCAGGGCUGGGAAUGGUUGGACUGGGUGAGCUUGAAGGAUUUUCCAACCUCAUUGAUCCAUGAUUCUCAAUAAAUAAAUAAGGGUAAAUAAUAACUAAAAAUCCUAAUUAAAACCCCCACCCCAAUUAAAAUCCUAACUCAAGACCCAAACCAAACAUAAAUGCCCAUCUGCCCAUGGGCAGAGCAGCAGCAGCUCCUGCACAGGCACUGCUCUGAGCUCACACUGCUCUGAGCUCACACUGCUCCAUCACAGCCACUGCCUCAUUCACACACACAGAGCAGGCAGGGCAGUGAACCAUCCCUCCCCGAGCCAGGGACCCCAAUAGCACAUAGGGAAAGGGAAAAGGAAUCACCAUCAGAUACCAUUCAUUUCAAGCCCUUUUGUCCUAUGGAGAAAGAGCAGCCCAGGGGCCCCCCUCUCCCUCCUCCUCCUCCCAUAUGGCCCGAUUCAGGCUAUAUUUAGUGCAGUAGAAUCAUGUCCAUACAUGCCCCAGACAGAGCAAUGCCUCUGUUUACUCUGAUAUGCAAACUGCCCUCCCCACAGGCAGCCCUGCAGCCGGGACCUGUUGCUAUGGGGAGGUGAUGCUGAGCAUCCCCUCGCCCCAGGGUAUCCCUGCACCCCAGGGCAUCGCAUCCCAGCACCCAUAAAUGGGAUUUACCCCCCCGGGAGCUGCCCCCCCACCUGCACAACUUCCUUUGUCCUCUAACAUACACAGUAGAGGGCUCACAGAUAAUACAGGAGACACUGGAUCACCCUGGUGUACUCCAAUCCCAGUGGGAUCUGGGUGUUCAUUCAGCCCAGCACACACAGCAAGGAAAGGACCCAAUACAAAACCCCAACAGGCUUAGGGAAGGAUGCGAGAAAAAUGCCAGAAUUGGGUUUUCUUUCACAAAGAGCUAUAAAACCAUAGUUAAGGAGGUGCAAUCAGGCACCUUCCACCUCUGCAGGCAGCAAAGCUUGAGGUGUGUGACAGCACCCAAGUGAUGCACCCUCUUCAUCCACCCUUGGAGCAGCACUGGUCCCCAUAGCCAAGGGGUCCUGGAGCCAUCCCUGCUCACCGCCACACACGAGCUCUAUAGGGACAAAGUGGAGCUGGAGGA